rnacentral:rRNA from 1 species
AUGCAAGUCGAACGAUGAUCUCCCGCUUGCGGGGGUGAUUAGUGGCGAACGGGUGAGUAAUACGUGAGUAACCUGCCCUUGACUCUGGGAUAAGCCUGGGAAACCGGGUCUAAUACUGGAUACGACCCCCUGUCGCAUGGUGGGGGGUGGAAAGGGUUUGACUGGUUUUGGAUGGGCUCACGGCCUAUCAGCUUGUUGGUGGGGUAAUGGCUCACCAAGGCGACGACGGGUAGCCGGCCUGAGAGGGUGACCGGCCACACUGGGACUGAGACACGGCCCAGACUCCUACGGGAGGCAGCAGUGGGGAAUAUUGCACAAUGGGCGGAAGCCUGAUGCAGCGACGCCGCGUGAGGGAUGACGGCCUUCGGGUUGUAAACCUCUUUCAGCAGGGAAGAAGCCACAAGUGACGGUACCUGCAGAAGAAGCGCCGGCUAACUACGUGCCAGCAGCCGCGGUAAUACGUAGGGCGCAAGCGUUGUCCGGAAUUAUUGGGCGUAAAGAGCUCGUAGGCGGUUUGUCGCGUCUGCUGUGAAAGCCCGGGGCUCAACCCCGGGUCUGCAGUGGGUACGGGCAGACUAGAGUGCAGUAGGGGAGACUGGAAUUCCUGGUGUAGCGGUGAAAUGCGCAGAUAUCAGGAGGAACACCGAUGGCGAAGGCAGGUCUCUGGGCUGUUACUGACGCUGAGGAGCGAAAGCAUGGGGAGCGAACAGGAUUAGAUACCCUGGUAGUCCAUGCCGUAAACGUUGGGCACUAGGUGUGGGGGACAUUCCACGUUCUCCGCGCCGUAGCUAACGCAUUAAGUGCCCCGCCUGGGGAGUACGGCCGCAAGGCUAAAACUCAAAGGAAUUGACGGGGGCCCGCACAAGCGGCGGAGCAUGCGGACUAAUUCGAUGCAACGCGAAGAACCUU